rnacentral:rRNA from 1 species
UACGUAGGGGGCAAGCGUUGUCCGGAAUCAUUGGGCGUAAAGGGCGCGUAGGCGGCCUGCUAAGUCGAACGUGAAAUCCCUGGGCUCAACCCAGGAACUGCGUCCGAUACUGGUUGGCUUGAAUCCGGGAGAGGGAUGUGGAAUUCCAGGUGUAGCGGUGAAAUGCGUAGAUAUCUGGAGGAACACCGGUGGCGAAGGCGACAUCCUGGACCGGCAUUGACGCUGAGGCGCGAAAGCCAGGGGAGCAAACGGG